rnacentral:rRNA from 1 species
UACGUAGGGUGCGAGCGUUAAUCGGAAUUGCUGGGCGUAAAGAGUGCGUAGGCGGUUCUUUGUGUCCGCUGUGAAAGCCCCGGGCUUAACCUGGGAAUGGCAGUGGAAACUAGAGAACUUGAAUCUGGCAGAGGGGGGUGGAAUGCCACGUGUAGCAGUGAAAUGCGUAGAUAUGUGGCGGAACACCGAUGGCGAAGGCAGCCCCUGGCUGAGA